rnacentral:lncRNA from 1 species
CAGAGACAUGAUUUAAGGAAGUAAGGCUUAAGAACUAAUAGAUUUAGUUUUUUAUUGUGAGGACUUAUUGCUCAAAAAUAAACAACAUAUCCUCCAGAAUAUUGCAUAAUACCUUAAAAAAUGAAGUAUCGGAAAUCAUGUGGGAUCAACAAAAGCUCAGGUUGAGAAGAAAAUGAUAAUUGUAUAAACAAAGAAGAAAUAAGUUUUAUGUAUGAACAUUCCCAAGGUUUGUCAAAAUGUCAAUUAUAGUGUAUUCCUAUAUAUGUUUCAAAAUGUGGUUGUGAAAAAUAUCGUCAUGG